UCUAUUACAAGAAUUGGCUGAAUAGCCAUUCCCUUCUCUCACCACUGAAUCAUCAUUCAACACUUGGAAUAAGAAUUUUUUUUCCCAAUUUCAAUUUUUGCCCUCACCUCUACCGAAAGAAGGAAGAAACUGUAACUUUCUUUUCUUCCUAUCUCCACGUUUCCUUUUUUUUCCUUUGAUUACAAAGGAGACUAAGUCAAUCUAUUGAAGCUUCAUUCCUUUUCAGCCAAUAAAAUCCUUUGGUUGCAGAGUUGCAACCCUUUUUUUCCUCCUUUUUUUUUUUUUUUGCUUUUUCACUGCAUUUCUGAUUUCCCCUAUUUGAUUUCAUUGCUUUGAUUUCACAAAUGCUAGAAAGAUAACAAGGCGAGUUGUUGUUAAGUGAAGAUGGAAGACUGGGAGGAUGAGAUUCCACCUCUCCCUACAAAGGAACAACUUAAAAGCAAAUGGGAUGAUGAAGAUAUUGAUGACUCUGAUAUCAAGGAAUCAUAGGAGGAUGAAGAGGAACUUGCUCCGCCUCCGGUAUUAUGGGCUUCAUUGUAACUUGUAUUAGCUUGUGGAAGAAGUCGAUUCAUGUUUCUGAUGUGGGGUUUUGGCAUGAUGCAGAGGCCAAUAGGAUUGAAGGCCAUGAGGAGUAUGGAAAGUGAUUCAGAUUGAAGAUACAUCAAUGGCAGUAGCAGGACCCUUUUUCUUUUGAUAUUUUUGGGGGAAGAUUUUUGGAAUUGAUGUUAACAAGUUGGGGAAAAAUAUAGAGAAGUUAAAAUAAGGGUCUGCUUGCUCGGGUUUGUUUGGUGUAUAGAUGUUUGAUAUUUUUCAUAUAUAAAAAAAUGAGAAUGAUUAUUGUUUUUGGAUUAAUAUUUGUAAUAUUGGCAACUAUGAUCCAUGAGAUUAUGUUAUGAUUUUUAUUAAUUCAUAUUUUAAUAAUAAUUAUA